UACGAAGGGGGCUAGCGUUGCUCGGAAUUACUGGGCGUAAAGGGCGCGUAGGCGGAUAUCUAAGUUGGGGGUGAAAUCCCGGGGCUCAACCUCGGAAUUGCCUUCAAAACUGGAUAUCUUGAGUUCGGGAGAGGUGAGUGGAACUCCGAGUGUAGAGGUGAAAUGCGUAGAUAUCUGGAGGAACACCGGUGGCGAAGGCGGCAUCCUGGACCAAUUCUGACGCUGAGUGAGCGAAAGCCAGGGGAGCAAACGGG
rnacentral:rRNA from 1 species